rnacentral:rRNA from 1 species
CUACGGGGGGCUCCAGUGGGGAAUUUUGCGCAAUGGGGGAAACCCUGACGCAGCAAUACCGCGUGAGUGAAGAAGGCCUUUGGGUCGUAAAGCUCUUUUCUUGGGGAAGAUAGUGACGGUACCCAAGGAAUAAGCACCGGCUAACUCCGUGCCAGCAGCCGCGGUAAUACGGAGGGUGCAAGCGUUGUUCGGACUUACUGGGCGUAAAGGGCACGUAGGCGGCACAGCAAGUUAAGGGUGAAAUCCCGGGGCUCAACUCCGGAACUGCUCUUAAAACUGCUGAGCUAGAGAUAGUCAGAGGCGGGUGGAAUUCCAGGUGUAGAGGUGAAAUUCGUAGAUAUCUGGAGGAACACCGGUGGCGAAGGCGGCCCGCUGGGGCUAUUCUGACGCUAAGGUGCGAAAGCGUGGGGAGCAAACGGGAUUAGAUACCCUUGUAGUC